UACGAAUAAGGAUCGGCUAACUCCGUGCCAGCAGCCGCGGUAAUACGGAGGAUCCGAGCGUUAUCCGGAUUUAUUGGGUUUAAAGGGAGCGUAGGCGGACGCUUAAGUCAGUUGUGAAAGUUUGCGGCUCAACCGUAAAAUUGCAGUUGAUACUGGGUGUCUUGAGUACAGUAGAGGCAGGCGGAAUUCGUGGUGUAGCGGUGAAAUGCUUAGAUAUCACGAAGAACUCCGAUUGCGAAGGCAGCCUGCUGGACUGUAACUGACGCUGAUGCUCGAAAGUGUGGGUAUCAAACAGGAUUAGAUACCCUGGUAGUCCACACAGUAAACGAUGAAUACUCGCUGUUUGCGAUAUACAGUAAGCGGCCAAGCGAAAGCGUUAAGUAUUCCACCUGGGGAGUACGCCGGCAACGGUGAAACUCAAAGGAAUUGACGGGGGCCCGCACAAGCGGAGGAACAUGUGGUUUAAUUCGAUGAUACGCGAGGAACCUUACCCGGGCUUGAAUUGCAACUGAAUGAUGUGGAGACAUGUCAGCCGCAAGGCAGUUGUGAAGGUGCUGCAUGGUUGUCGUCAGCUCGUGCCGUGAGGUGUCGGCUUAAGUGCCAUAACGAGCGCAACCCUUAUCGAUAGUUACCAUCAGGUGAUGCUGGGGACUCUGUCGAGACUGCCGUCGUAAGAUGUGAGGAAGGUGGGGAUGACGUCAAAUCAGCACGGCCCUUACGUCCGGGGCUACACACGUGUUACAAUGGGGGGUACAGAAGGCAGCUACCUGGCGACAGGAUGCUAAUCCCAAAAACCUCUCUCAGUUCGGAUCGAAGUCUGCAACCCGACUUCGUGAAGCUGGAUUCGCUAGUAAUCGCGCAUCAGCCAUGGCGCGGUGAAUACGUUCCCGGGCCUUGUACACACCGCCCGUCAAGCCAUGAAAGCCGGGGGUACCUGAAGUGCGUAACCGCAAGGAGCGCCCUAGGGUAAAACUGGUGAUUGGGGCUAAGUCGUAACAAGGUAGCCGUACCGGAAGGUGCGGCUG
rnacentral:rRNA from 1 species